UACAGAGGGUGCAAGCGUUGUUCGGAAUUAUUGGGCGUAAAGCGCGUGUAGGCGGCUUUGCAAGUCGGGUGUGAAAGCCCUCGGCUCAACCGAGGAAGUGCGCCCGAAACUGCAGAGCUUGAGUACCGGAGAGGGUGGCGGAAUUCCCCAAGUAGAGGUGAAAUUCGUAGAUAUGGGGAGGAACACCGGUGGCGAAGGCGGCAUCCUGGACCGGCAUUGACGCUGAGGCGCGAAAGCCAGGGGAGCAAAACGGG
rnacentral:rRNA from 1 species